GAGCAGGAGUCCAUCUCAAAAAAAAAAAAAAAAUCUCAUGUAACCCAUAGAUAUAUAGCUACUGUGCAUUCACAAAAAUUAAAAAUUAAAGUAAUAAAGAUAUCAAUUUAAACUGCAAGAACAAAAACCACUGAUCCUCAUUUCUUCAUAGAUAAAUGAUCUUAGCACCAUAUUGAUUACAUCGCCUUUGUGGGAAUUCCAAAACAUAGUUAAGAAUAUGUACUACUUCACUUUAGCAAAAUGCCAAAAACAUGUAGAAGAGAAGAAAAAUGUUAUUACACAUGCUCAGUACAUCCUUACCUCCUCCCAAUACAGUAUGGUGAAAACAAGGAGAAACUCCCAACUCUAUGCUUCUUCCUCAGGAGAGAAAGAGAAAUGUAGAAUAUGUGUCCACAUUUUUGGUUUUUAGGGGGCUGUCAAAGAUGGGUUCCCCUGACACAGAGUGCUGAAGAAAAAGGUGGUAUACUUUGGAUGACAGCAGCUAUGCAUUUUUGCAUUACUAUAAGAAGCAAUCCUAAAGUUAUAUGAGAACUAAGGAAGCCAGAAGUGCUCAAAAAUUGUCAAAAGAGGAACAACAUCAGAAGCAUCAUACAUCCUGAUUUUAAAAACCUAUUAUAAAGUUAUAGUAAUUCAAAUACUUUAUAACUGGAUCAAAAAAAGACAAUACCAGUGAAACAGAAUAGAGCA
rnacentral:lncRNA from 1 species